AUACUAGAGAAACACCAACCAGAAAACAUCAGUUGUAGGUCUGUGGCUACCACCCCAGGAAGCUGGACUGCACUUCAGGCUGCAUGUGAAGGGACUGUGGAGCCUGAUAUUCCCAGAUCCUUGUCCAGGGAAUGCUGCUGAGGACGCGGUGUGUCCCUGAACAACUUUAAAUUCCCCUGCUGCU